GCUGGCGGCGUGCCUAACACAUGCAAGUCGAACGGUAACAGGUCUUCGGAUGCUGACGAGUGGCGCACGGGUGAGUAACGCGUGGAUAUCUGCCUAUUAGUGGGGGACAACUUUCGGAAACGGAAGCUAAUACCGCAUAAUCUCUACGGAGGAAAGCAGGGGACCUUUCGGGGCCUUGUGCUGAUAGAUGAGUCCGCGUCUGAUUAGCUAGUUGGUAGGGUAAAGGCCUACCAAGGCGAUGAUCAGUAUCUGGUUUGAGAGGAUGAUCAGACACACUGGAACUGAGACACGGUCCAGACUUCUACGGAAGGCAGCAGUGGGGAAUAUUGCACAAUGGGGGAAACCCUGAUGCAGCGACGCCGCGUGUGGGAAGAAGGCUUUAGGGUUGUAAACCACUUUCAAUUGGGAAGAAGAGAUGAGUACUAAUAUUAUUCUGAUUUGACGGUACCUUUAGAAGAAGCACCGGCUAAUUUCGUGCCAGCAGCCGCGGUAAUACGAAAGGUGCAAGCGUUGUUCGGAUUUACUGGGCGUAAAGCGAGUGUAGGUUGUUUAUUAAGUCGGAUGUGAAAUCCCAGGGCUCAACCCUGGAACUGCAUUCGAUACUGAUAGGCUAGAGUUCGGGAGGGGUAAGCGGAAUUCCGUGUGUAGCAGUGAAAUGCGUAGAUAUACGGAGGAACACCUGAGGCGAAGGCGGCUUACUGGACCGAUACUGACACUGAGACUCGAAAGCGUGGGUAGCAAACAGGAUUAGAUACCCUGGUAGUCCACGCCCUAAACGAUGUCAACUAGCCGUUGCGGGUAUCGACCCCUGCAGUGGCGAAGCUAACGCGAUAAGUUGACCGCCUGGGGAGUACGGU
rnacentral:rRNA from 1 species